AUUGAACGCUGGCGGCAUGCCUUACACAUGCAAGUCGAACGGCAGCACGGGUGCUUGCACCUGGUGGCGAGUGGCGAACGGGUGAGUAAUACAUCGGAACGUACCUUAUCGUGGGGGAUAACGCAGCGAAAGUUGCGCUAAUACCGCAUACGCCCUGAGGGGGAAAGCGGGGGACCGUAAGGCCUCGCGCGAUUAGAGCGGCCGAUGUCUGAUUAGCUUGUUGGUGAGGUAAAAGCUCACCAAGGCGAUGAUCAGUAGCUGGUCUGAGAGGACGAUCAGCCACACUGGGACUGAGACACGGCCCAGACUCCUACGGGAGGCAGCAGUGGGGAAUUUUGGACAAUGGGGGCAACCCUGAUCCAGCAAUGCCGCGUGAGUGAAGAAGGCCUUCGGGUUGUAAAGCUCUUUUGUCAGGGAAGAAACAGCAGCUCUAACACAGACUGCGAAUGACGGUACCUGAAGAAUAAGCACCGGCUAACUACGUGCCAGCAGCCGCGGUAAUACGUAGGGUGCGAGCGUUAAUCGGAAUUACUGGGCGUAAAGCGUGCGCAGGCGGUUAUACAAGACAGGCGUGAAAUCCCCGGGCUUAACCUGGGAAUGGCGUCUGUGACUGUAUAGCUAGAGUGUGUCAGAGGGGGGUGGAAUUCCACGUGUAGCAG
rnacentral:rRNA from 1 species